CCCGCUCCCAGCAGCCCUUGCAGCCGCCUACAAUGAAAUUUGCGAAGUUUUUUCGGUUUCGGCGCCAUUUUCGAGUGGACUCGGAGGAGUCGGGCUCCCAGAUCUUCUGUCCCUUGUUGUUUAAAACUGGAGGAGAUGACAAUGCAAAAAAGCAAAAAAAAGGAAGUAGCAAGACCCAUCAGACUUUUCUCCUCAGCAGUGUUGAGAAAAAACUCUGGAUCCUGGAAUUUAACUGUGGAUUUCACUGGUUUUCUGGAGGACUUUCCUGUUGAAGCAGGGAUCGUCCGUGCCCAGGGAGGAUGACGCAGAGGAACCAACAUGCCCCUCAGAGGUGAGUUAGGGAGGUAAGCUCAGUGCCCUGCUCCCAAAUACCCAUAUCCCUCGGGGUAAAUAGAGGUUCCUCUCAAGCAGCUGCAGGUAACACACCAGAGAGGGUGAGAGAAACUCAGUGUCCUGUUCAGCUGCAUCUUUCUGAUUGAAUAUUGAGAACCCAAAGCAGAAAGUUAGAAGGAAGCUCCAGUGUGAGAUUGGCUGAUCAGAACCCAGAGCUUUAAUGAUGCCAUCAUGUCAUAAAUGGAUGCAUUUUCUCAGAUACGUGUUUCACUGCCUAUCCCAAGUUUCCACUUGCCCAGUAUUCAGUGUGAAUGUUGAUUUUUCUCCCUCUGUGUGAGAGAAUAGGCUGGUGGAGGUGCAUUGAACCCACACCUUGGGAAUUCCUCCUUGCCAAAGAGAGCUCUUGCCCCCCUUGUCAAACAAGGCUAAAGACUUAUGUAUGUAUAAAUAUAUAUUAAAAAAACCCCAUUAAUUAAAGCCUGAACCUCAAACACAAACAAAAUGGAUUCUAGAGCUGAGGUGGUUUGUUGUUGGUUGGGGUUUGAAGUCACUUGAAGAGAUGAAAGAAAGAAGACUACACAGGAGCAGUCAAGUAAAACUUUGUUACAGCAACAAUUAAUGGUGAAGUUACUUGGGGGCUGGUUUUGUUUUAGCUUGUGUGAGUUUAACUUUCUCCAGGUACUCGUUGGCUUUGCAGUUGGAACCGCUGCUUUUGGUAUUGGGGACACUGAAGUGGUGAAGAAAAGCCCUACUUUUUGUUGUUGUUGGCAAAUAUUUGAUUUAAAAUUUGCAAUAUGUUGGCAAGAGUUGUGAGAGCCUUUGAAAUUCCUGUUUUGAAGCUUUGCUGAAGAGAGAGGGGGCAGGAAAGGGGCUACAGGGGAGCCAGGGCACGGCAGCACACGGCCUCGCUUCUGGUCUUGUUUGAGUGGCUUUGGUGAUGCUGGUGCUUUUUAAGAAGGUGAAUUGAAGGAAGUGGAGGGGGAAAAAACCCCACCCCAAUAAGCCGAAAUGAAACACGUGAAAUGUCAGGCUACCUGCAGGGCUUCUGCACAGCCCUGGUGGGCCAGUGCCUUGGGAGCUGUGAGCUUCAGAGCCACGGCCUCCCCUCUGCCCUGUGCUGGUGUUUUCCUCCCUGGUACAAGCAGAGGAGGAGGUGAAGUUCCAGGGAAUCUUUAAUUUCUAAUCACAGAAAUUUUGUCCAUUCAAAUAGUAAAUGAGUGUAUCCAAAUCUCUAAUAAAAGAGUGGUUUUUAGGUUUCUCAAAAUGAGCCAAAUGAAAAUAUUUUAAGGAAAACUUGAAGAGGUUGGAACUACUGGAAACUGGAUUUAUCUGCAACAUUAACAUUGUGACUCCUGGAAAAUCCUUGAUAUUAGUCCCCAAAAGGAAAGUACAAGGUAACAUCUGCCUACAAACCAUGGGGAAAAGCCAGGAAGGUCUGGAGGCUCUUUGCAGCAGCCAAAGCAGCAGAUCUGCUAGAUCUGAAAGUGUAGGUUUGCCAGGACCCACAUAUGGAGUAUACUUUGGGGGUGGGGGGAACACUUAAUUUCUGAUUUUGUUUCUGGAACUAGUUUGUUUGCACUGUGUAACUGCUUGUUUUCUUAUAGUUACAGACUUUCUGAUAGCACCUGUGAAGAGAAAACCCAAAUGUCCCAUGGUGGUAAUGCUUGCAUGUUAAAUGUCUUCACUGUAGUGUUCUUAAGUACUUUGUAUCAUGGCUUUUAAAAAAAUAAUAAUAUUCAAAAUACCAUUUGGAAUAUCAACAUUCAGUGGGCUUUGAGGAGAUGUAGCAGCACAUCAUGGUUUGUAGGGACAAGGAGAUACAGACCAUUCUGGGCUGCCUCAUUACCUCAAGGAUAAGACAAGAAAGUGAGCUUCUGGUUAUCAUAGAUGUGGAAGCUAACACAUUCCCAUGUCUCUCUUUAGUUCAGUUGAACAGGUACGUGUAGAUAAGUUCUCCUCAUGCUUGUAUCUGUGCCCAUCCUUUGCAGCUACAAAUACAUCCCCUCUGAGUCUGUGUGUGUGUGUGUCUCAGCGGGGCUGCCCCUGCAGGCAGGGAGGACUGGGAGCUCCUUUUUGUUCUCCAACAUGGGCAUGGGUGAUGUUGGCUUGAGCACUGUGCCUUCAGCUGACCCUUCACCUAUUGCUCUUCAGUCCUUUCCCCAGCAAAGGACCGGCCAAGGUACUCUGUUGCCUGUGUUUGGGGUGGGGGAAAGGAGGGGCUGGAGGCUGUGGAGGGGCUCUAGGAUGGAGAGCUGUCAGCAGUGCUCUAGCAGCACGUAAAUACUGGAGUUUGGGAUUGCCUGUUGCUCUCCAGUAUUGCAUUGCUGCUUUAGUGAGGCUGGAAAUCGGUCCCUGCCGUGGGAGCUGGGGCUCAGACUCCCAGGGUACCUCCUGGGCACUGCUGUGGUGCUUCGGGGCUCUCCUCACACACCAAUAAACCACUGCG